rnacentral:rRNA from 1 species
UACGUAGGGUGCAAGCGUUGUCCGGAAUUAUUGGGCGUAAAGAGCUCGUAGGCGGUCUGUCACGUCGGCUGUGAAAACCCGAGGCUCAACCUCGGGCCUGCAGUCGAUACGGGCAGACUAGAGUUCGGUAGGGGAGACUGGAAUUCCUGGUGUAGCGGUGAAAUGCGCAGAUAUCAGGAGGAACACCGGUGGCGAAGGCGGCAUCCUGGACCAACACUGACGCUGAGGAGCGAAAGCCAGGGGAGCAAACGGG